rnacentral:rRNA from 1 species
UGUGAGAAUGAGAAGGGCGUUCGGUGGAUGCCUUGGCACUGAGAGGCGAUGAAGGACGUGGUACGCUGCGAAAAGCCAUGGGGAGCUGCGAACAAGCUUUGAUCCGUGGAUGUCCGAAUGGGGCAACCCCCUCGUAAGAGGAUCAUGCACUGAAUACAUAGGUGUAUGAGGCGAACCCGGGGAACUGAAACAUCUAAGUACCCGGAGGAAAAGACAUCAACAGAGAUUCCGCUAGUAGUGGCGAGCGAACGCGGAGCAGGCCAAUGCCUUAUUAAGGAGAAGCAAAACGGUCUGGAAAGUCCGGCAAUAAUGGGUGAUAGCCCCGUAUGCAUAAUGUCUUGAUAAGGAUUUGAGUAGGGCGGGGCACGUGAAACCCUGUCUGAACAUGGGGGGACCACCCUCCAAGCCUAAAUACUCCUCAGUGACCGAUAGUGAACAAGUACCGUGAGGGAAAGGUGAAAAGCACCCCGAUAAGGGGAGUGAAAGAGACCUGAAACCGGACGCCUACAAGCAGUCGGAGCCUCAUAUGGGGUGACGGCGUACCUUUUGUAUAAUGGGUCAGCGAGUUUCUGUUUGCAGCGAGCUUAAGCCGUUAGGUGUAGGCGUAGCGAAAGCGAGUCUGAAUAGGGCGAAUGAGUUGCUGGCAGAAGACCCGAAACCGAGUGAUCUAGCCAUGGCCAGGCUGAAGGUGCGGUAACACGCACUGGAGGGCCGAACCCACGCCUGUUGAAAAAGUCGGGGAUGAGCUGUGGUUAGGGGUGAAAGGCCAAUCAAACUCGGAAAUAGCUGGUUCUCCGCGAAAUCUAUUGAGGUAGACCGUCGGAUGUUUACCCUCGGGGGUAGAG